rnacentral:rRNA from 1 species
GAUGAACGCUGGCGGCGUGCCUAAUACAUGCAAGUCGAGCGAAUGGAUUAAGAGCUUGCUCUUAUGAAGUUAGCGGCGGACGGGUGAGUAACACGUGGGUAACCUGCCCAUAAGACUGGGAUAACUCCGGGAAACCGGGGCUAAUACCGGAUAACAUUUUGAACCGCAUGGUUCGAAAUUGAAAGGCGGCUUCGGCUGUCACUUAUGGAUGGACCCGCGUCGCAUUAGCUAGUUGGUGAGGUAACGGCUCACCAAGGCAACGAUGCGUAGCCGAACUGAGAGGGUGAUAGGCCACACUGGGACUGAGACACGGCCCAGACUCCUACGGGAGGCAGCAGUAGGGAAUCGUCCGCAAUGGACGAAAGUCUGACGGAGCAACGCCGCGUGAGUGAUGAAGGCUUUCGGGUCGUAAAACUCUGUUGUUAGGGAAGAACAAGUGCUAGUUGAAUAAGCUGACACCUUGACGGUACCUAACCAGAAAGCCACGGCUAACUACGUGCCAGCCGCCGCCGUAA